GGUUGGUAAGGGGGUAUGUGGAUGAACAAGGGGGACUGGGAGCCCGAGGGGCGGUGGGGGCGGCUUGGGGGAACUCUCUGAACCUUCCUAGGUCGUCGGCCAGCUGUUCCCCGAGGUCCCCAGUCCUUGGGGUUGGGGUCCUGGCCCGCCCUGCAGCCUGGGGUUCAGGGUGAUGCUGCACACGGUGCCCGAGGGGCCCCCCGGGGGUGGGGGGCCUGGCCCACGGGACGCGGCCUCUGAGAAGUUGGGGCACACGGGCCGGGCAGGCCUCACCCAGCCCCGCCGGCACCAGGUCUGGGGGAACCGGCGCCUGUUUGAGCCGCGCCAUCUGCGGGGUGUUGUUAUGGCGCAAGGGCUUCAGAGAGUGGGGCUCGGGGGCCCGAGAGGCCGGCAGGCAAACACGCCCGGGCAGGAAGGAGGGAGCCCGCGGUGCGCCCACGCGGCUCCGGCCCGCCCGCAGCCCUGCCCUGCGGUCACUCGCGCCCAUCCGAGUCCUUCGCGCGCCCCCGAAGCGGGUCGCGGGCAUGACUGGGCCCCCGUCACCCGGGACUACCUGCUGCCUCUCCGCACGUCGUCGUCUGCGGGCUGGACUCUGGCUCCUGUCUGGCGUCAUCCGUCCUGAGGGGCGCGCGGGCACGUGGCUGCGGCUGAAGCGCGUGGCCUUGCGGCGAGGAGGCCGAGGGGCGCGCGCACUGACGACCCACGCAGCACGCCACGCACACCACGCACGCCACGCACAUCGCGCACGCACACCACAUGCACGCACACGCACACCGUUCGUACAGACAUGUACACCAUGCAGGCACACGCACCCGCACACUGCGCAUGCGUACGUUCCCCAUGCGCACGCCCGCCCGCGGGAGCGGGCCAGAAGACAGCUCUCAGCCUUGCGCAGGGACUGCCUCUGGGUGAUGGGUAGUAAGUGACUUUCACUUUCUUCCCAGACUUUCCCACAUUCUCCAAAUAUUUGACAAUGACUGGUUGUGAAUGUUACAAGAAAAAGAAAACACUCAGAUGUGUUUGUUUUUAAGUAAAACCUACCAGCUACGUCUUCGGGGUGGCUGCUGUGAAGGCUGUGGGCCGGACCCAUGCGCGGACCUCUGGUCUCGGGACACGUGGCGCCAGGAAGUGGCUCAGCAGCGGGUCUUGGGCCACCUGCCCGGCCAGGCUGGGCCCCUCUGGCCCCCCCGGGCCCUCCCAGCCUCGGGCCAGCUUGGAAGGGGUUAAGAUGCUCCACCAAUGCAAAUUAGGUUUAAUUAAUCCUUUUCAUCAGUUGCAAAUAUACCUUCUGAACCCUAUUAAAAACAUGAAUAUGCAAAUGCAGACCUUUUUUAAUUCUCAUUUUCAAGGACUUGGUGUUGGGGUUUGAUUAAGUGAAUUCCGUUAACAGCCUGUAAACCUGGUGGAAAAGUAAAUUUCCAUUUUAAGUUUGAAACAAAAAAGCCACGAAGGCUGCUGGUAAUUGAGCUAAUUAUAGUGUCACACUACAGGCCACACGUGGAGCCCACGCGGGAGGGGCCCCGGGGGCGGCUCUCAGGGGCCCACAGCUGGUUCUGCUGUCCGGCCAUUUUCCCCACGUGGAGACUGAGGCUCAGGUAGGGGCGGAACCUGGAGUCCAGGCCAGGGAGUGUGCGCUGCCUGGGCCUGGCUCAUGCGAAGCGGGGGCGCCCCAGAGGGGAGCCCUGAGGGAGCCUGGACCCAGGUGUGCACUGCGGUCGUGCGGGGGCCGAGCCCCACGGCUCUGCCCACGUCUCCAGGAGCUCCAGGUGCCCUGCUGGGACAGCCACUUCUCUCAUCAAUCGGACACCAUGGCUCCCUGGCAGUACCGCCGGAUGCCCGGGACCCUCGCCACCCGGGUGCUGUCCGCGGUGCUGGAGAGCCGUGGCAGGGCGGUGUACUGGUGGCCUUUGCGCAUGCGCCACUGAGACCACGGCUGGUUGGAACCCAGGUGGGCUGCAGGGGUAAAACACGAGCUGGGUUUCCAAGACUCAGUGCCAAGAGAUGGUCAAGUGACUCUCACUAAUUUAUAUGUAUAUAAUUUAGAGAACUCGUAUUUUAAAGUUGAUAUAACUGACAUAUUGGUUUCAACAACAGGAUGAUUCAAUGUUUGUAUAUACUGCAAAACUAAUUUUCAUAUUGACUCCAUGUUGAAAUAAAAUUUUGGCUAUAUUAGGUUAAAUACA
ensembl:lncRNA